rnacentral:rRNA from 1 species
CAGCAGCCGCGGUAAUACAGAGGGUGCAAGCGUUAAUCGGAAUUACUGGGCGUAAAGCGCGCGUAGGUGGUUUGUUAAGUUGGAUGUGAAAUCCCCGGGCUCAACCUGGGAACUACAUCCAAAACUGGCAAGCUAGAGUAUGGUAGAGGGUGGUGGAAUUUCCUGUGUAGCGGUGAAAUGCGUAGAUAUAGGAAGGAACACCAGUGGCGAAGGCGACCACCUGGACUGAUACUGACACUGAGGUGCGAAAGCGUGGGGAGCAAACAGGAUUAGAUACCCCUGUAGUCCCUGUCUCUUAUAC